CGGCGAGCAUGCGGAUUAAUUCGAUGCAACGCGAAGAACCUUACCAAGGCUUAGACAUACACCGGUAACGCCCAGAGAUGGGUGCCCCUUUGUGGUCGGUGGACAGGUGGUGCAUGGUUGUCGUCAGCUCGUGUCGUGAGAUGUUGGGUUAAGUCCCGCAACGAGCGCAACCCUCGUCCUAUGUUGCCAGCGGGUCAUGCCGGGGACUCAUGGGAGACUGCCGGGGUCAACUCGGAGGAAGUGGGGAUGACGUCAAAUCAUCCAUCGCCCUUAUGUCUUGGGCUUCACGCAUGCUACAAUGGCCGGUACAAAGGGCUGCGAUACCGCGAGGUGGAGCGAAUCCCAGAAAGCCGGUCUCAGUUCGGAUUGGGGUCUGCAACUCGACCCCAUGAAGUCGGAGUCGCUAGUAAUCGCAGAUCAGCAACGCUGCGGUGAAUACGUUCCCGGGCCUU
rnacentral:rRNA from 1 species